CCGAGAUCGUGCCACCACACUCCAGCCUGGGCGACAGAGCCAGACUCUGUCUAAAAAAACAAAAAGAGAGAGUUUUGAAAUCUUGGUAGAAUAUACUGGUUCCAUGGGAAGCUUUUUGUCUCAAAAAGGACGCUAAACCUUGUAUGUCUUCUUUGGGGCUGACUCCAGCACAAAACCCACUUCCAAUUCACAAAUGUGAAGAGCCAUUUUGUUCCAGGAAAGCCAUGAAGUAAGGUGAAUGCACAUGUUUAGGCUGAAAGGCAGUCUUCUGUCUGGUUCUCUACAGCUCUCCUCUCCCCCAUCCAGAGACCUCGGAGAGCUGUCUUGGCCCUUCUACCACCUGAGACACAGUGAGAAGAGCUGUCUGUGAACCAGGAAGAGGGCCCUCACCAGACACCAAAUCUGCUGGCACCUUGAUCUGGGACUUCUCAGCUUCUCAAACGAUGAGAAAUACAUGUAUGUUGUUUAUAAGUCACCUAGUGUAUGGUAUUUUCUUACAGCAGCCAGGGAUGGACUAAGACAACUGCCAGCCUUUCUCUUGUAUGUAUGAAUAAACACUUUUCAAAAUAAUGACAGGGAAUUAUUCUGAAAUAUUAUUUCCUAACCUGCUUUUCACUUCACAGAUGGUAAUAAUUUUCUUUUCUGUUUUUUUGUUUGUUUGUUUGUUUUUGUUUUCUUUUUUUUUUUGAGAUGGAGUCUAGCUCUGUCACCCAGGCUGGAAUUCAGUGGCGUGAUCUUGGCUCACUGCAACCUCCGCCUCCCGGGUUCAAGUGAUUCUCCUGCCUCAGCCUCCCAAGUUACUGAGAUUACAGACGUCCACCACCACAUCCAGGACAGCAUGUGUUCUAAGAAGCUCACCUGGGCUGGGUUCUCACAUUUGUCCCUGGCGGAAGAGAUGAAGAUGGUUUUAUUACUACCUGGGAAUGAAUGUAAUGCUGCAACGCUAAAGAACAAGAUGAGCAACUUUAGUGCCAGGAGUGGAUUCGCUUUCCUUGGAAAUGACAAUUCUAAUGUGGCUUUAUGACAAAUAUCCUGCUAGCUCUUAUUUUUAGUUCUGUCUGAAACAAACAUCGAUCGUGCUUCGGAGGACUGGAAGCAGACGGGUUGAGGCUGAUCAAAGUGAAGACCAAUAUGGUGAAUGCUUUGACAAGGACCUCUG
rnacentral:lncRNA from 10 species